CUCGGUCGCGGCGGGGGCUUCGGCCGCGGCCGGGGCGGGCUCGGCGGCGGGCUGUUCGGCGGCCGGGGUCACCGGGGCGACGCCGGCGACCGGGA
rnacentral:tRNA from 1 species